CCGGCCCUGCCCUGUCCUGCCCUGUCCUGCCCUGCCCUGCCCUGCACUGCCCGGUCCCGCACGCGCGGCGCGAUGUGAGGCGCCCGAGCCCGGAGCCUCCGCCUGGCAUCAGCUCCACGCAGCCCGGCGCUGGCACGCGCGAGGCCCCCCUUCUGCAGAGGCCGGGUUGGAGGAGAAGAUGGCGGCCAAGCAGCCCCCGCCUCUGAUGAAGAAGCACAGCCAGACGGACCUCGUGAGCCGCCUGAAGACCCGCAAGAUCCUCGGCGUGGGCGGGGAGGAUGACGACGGGGAGGUGCAUCGCUCCAAGAUCAGCCAGGUCUUGGGCAAUGAAAUCAAGUUUACCAUUCGGGAGCCUUUGGGGCUCAGGGUCUGGCAGUUCCUCUCUGCUGUGCUCUUCUCCGGCAUUGCCAUCAUGGCACUUGCCUUCCCUGACCAGCAUCUCCCUGAUCAUGUGGAACGCUCUCUACACGGCUGAGAAGGUCAUCAUUCGAUGGACCCUGCUCACCGAAGCCUGCUAUUU
rnacentral:sRNA from 1 species